rnacentral:rRNA from 1 species
AUUGAACGCUGGCGGCAUGCUUUACACAUGCAAGUCGGACGGCAGCACAGAGAAGCUUGCUUCUUGGGUGGCGAGUGGCGCACGGGUGAGUAAUAUAUCGGAACGUACCGAGUAAUGGGGGAUAACUAAUCGAAAGAUUAGCUAAUACCGCAUAUUCUCUGAGGAGGAAAGCAGGGGACCUUCGGGCCUUGCGUUAUUCGAGCGGCCGAUAUCUGAUUAGCUAGUUGGUGGGGUAAAGGCCUACCAAGGCGACGAUCAGUAGCGGGUCUGAGAGGAUGAUCGGCCACACUGGAACUGAGCCACGGCCCAGACUCCUGCGGGAGGCAGCAGGGGGGAAUUUUGGACAAGGGGGGCAAGCUUGAUCCAGCCAUCCCGCGGGGGUGAAGAGGGCCUUCGGGUUGUAAAGGCCUUUUGUGGGGAAAGAAAAGGCGUUGGCUAAUACCCCGCGGUGCUGACGGUACCUAAAGAAUAAGCACCGGCUAACUACGUG